GAUGAACGCUGGCGGCGUGCCUAAUACAUGCAAGUCGAGCGAACAGACGAGGAGCUUGCUCCUCUGACGUUAGCGGCGGACGGGUGAGUAACACGUUGAUAACCUACCUAUAAGACUGGGAUAACUUCGGGAAACCGGAGCUAAUACCGGAUAAUAUAUUGAACCGCAUGGUUCAAUAGUGAAAGACGGUUUUGCUGUCACUUAUAGAUGGAUCCGCGCCGCAUUAGCUAGUUGGUAAGGUAACGGCUUACCAAGGCGACGAUGCGUAGCCGACCUGAGAGGGUGAUAGGCCACACUGGAACUGAGACACGGUCCAGACUCCUACGGGAGGCAGCAGUAGGGAAUCUUACGCAAUGGGCGAAAGCCUGACGGAGCAACGCCGCGUGAGUGAUGAAGGUCUUCGGAUCGUAAAACUCUGUUAUUAGGGAAGAACAAAUGUGUAAGUAACUAUGCACGUCUUGACGGUACCUAAUCAGAAAGCCACGGCUAACUACGUG
rnacentral:rRNA from 1 species